rnacentral:rRNA from 1 species
ACGCUCGACACCUACGGGAGGCAGCAGUGGGGAAUAUUGCACAAUGGGGGAAACCCGUGAUGCAGCGACGCCGCGUGAGCGAAGAAGUAUUUCGGUAUGUAAAGCUCUAUCAGCAGGGAAGAAACUGACGGUACCUGACUAAGAAGCACCGGCUAAAUACGUGCCAACAGCCGCGGUAAUCUGAGCGGGCUGGCAAGGC